GGAGGAACGGUCAAGAAUCGCGGUAGGAGGGGCGGGAUCCGGGGAGGACAUGCGGGAUCUGGUCAUGCCGGUUCUCCUCUGCGUUGCUGCUUGGGCUGCUCCCUCCUCGUGGCUGCCUCGUCUCCCCCAGGCUUUGGAAGAUUUGGAUGGAGCACAGGUCGGGAUUGGUGGUGCACAGGCGAGCUCGGACAGGGGCGGGCACAGGCGAGCUCCAGCUACAGUAGGGAGCGUCACAUCCCAAUAUCUACCAGGGAUCUGCUGCAGACACUGUAGGCUUUGGAAGAUUUGAGCACAAGUCGGGAUGCUCCCGUUCAUCUUUGGUUGUUUCCUUUCCCCUCUCUCUACGUUUGGAAUCCCAUGCCAAAAUCGAAGGUCACAACCCCCAGCGAUGCAGCAAAGCUAUCCUCCCGUGGGCCUUUCUUCCAAGAUUUUGGGAUGGGCUGUGUCUUGCUUGACAUGGGAGACGUUCACAUAAUGAGAGCUGCUCAAGGAUGCUUCUAUCCUCAACAUGAUUCCUGGAUACAACACAAUAUCAGCAGCAUAUGCAUCUUGUAGUCUUUGUUCUUUUUUUUUUAUGAAAACUUCAGUAGUAUUCCUCUAUAUGCAGCUAUUUUUUUAGUUAAUGCUAAUUAUGACUAAAAUCUUAGCACAAAAUGCUUUUAUAUACAUCUAUAUUUAUCUAUAGCUGAUAUCAGGUUUUUACAAUCAGAACAUGUAUUUGCUGCAGUCCAACAUAAAAGGCGAGGGUGCGCCGCGAGCCCUCACCGCCAAGCCGUGCGAGGAGCCUAGGCUAGACCAAUGCUGGAAUAGGGUCACACUUUUGUUUGGCACGCAGACAGAUGCUAUUUUUUCGGUUGCUUCGAUGUGUUAUAAUGGUUUCUCUGGUGCGACACGAAUAUUUCUAUUGCAUAUGUACUCAGUGGUAUUCCAGGCAGAUCAGCACCGACACAGUCUUCGCCAAGGCUAGGCGAGUUAUGAGAAUGAUGUGAGAUGGAAUUGAAGGUGAGCAAACAAUUGAAGCUUGUCAAAAAUGUAUGUACAGUGUGGCCCUCUAGCUAUAAAGUGAGGUGGAAAGCUAAGGUGAGCAGAAAAUCAAAAUUACUUUCCAGACCAUUGAGGACUAUGAGAAUAUGAGUACAUCCAACAGAAACACAUUUUCAAGUCUGCCUACUUGGUGAGUGCAACGUCAACAGUGCCGCCAUUGUCUGACACCCUCAACACUGGCUGGAUGCGCUCAAUGUAGAAUUAUGUCAAUAAGCAGUCUGUCGUUGAUGGCCCACAUGAAUCGGCUCCUAAUAGCACGGAACCUGGACAACAACUGUUGAGUGGUUUGGUGCUAAGAGUGAGUACAAUGUUCUUGUUAUGUUCGUGUUGGGACCAAGCCUGGAACAUUUUUUCUGCUCUUGCAACAGAAAACUGUCGCUCAAAACUGUGGUUAUGC